UGAUGAGGCAUCACCAGAAGGGCAGGCCGAACCUGAGGCUGGCCGCUGAGCACGCUGACAGCCCAGGAGAGGAGGAAAAAAGCCUGAGCCCCCCCCCAUCGGGUGCACCCCAAGGCCGCUGGCAGGCUGCGUGCCCGUGGUGCUGCCGGCUGACAAGCCCGGAUCCCGCACUGCUCAGGGGGAGAGCUGCCAGCGCUGCCUGCCCGCCUCUCCCCAGGUCCUAGCGCUCUGCCCGCCGCACCAAGGACACCCGGCUGCAGGACAGCCCCCAGCCCCCGCGCGGGGAUGCCCCAUGCCCUCCUGGGGACAAAGUCCUUGUGAAGUGGGGGGCCCUGCCCUAUAGGCAUCGCCUUGCAGACCCAGAUCCCCCCGGCCCUUUCCCUUCCAGCCGCAGCACGGCCGGGAGCCGCAUCGUCCUUGUCACCAGAUCCCCAGAUCCCCGUUCAGCCCCGGGGCAGAGGGACGGGGCGGUGGGUGACAGAGCUCGGCACAGGCCCCCGGCUGCGGGGUGACCUUGCACGUGGGUCCUUGUGGCGGCUUCUCAGAGCCACGUCCCCUCCCCAGCCCCCAAGCCAGCGCCUUUCCCUCUCGCCACCCUGCCCGUUACCUCCAGGGCUCAGCUCCCCGCUGCCGCCUUGCCCGGUGCCGGGGAUCCUCCGGUGGAGGGAGGACGGGGGCUGCGGAGCCCCUCACCGUGCCACGAGCUCCUCAGCCGGGCGCUGGCUGCGAGCGGCUCCGCAGGGCUCCCGCUGGCUCAGCAAGUGGAGGCUGCGUGCACGCGGGGAUUAGCGGGGGGAAGCGGCGCCUGCCAUCGAGACCGCCAGCGGGAUUCGUCAGCGGGGCCCGGCGCCAGGGCGAGGAAGGGGAGAGGGGGAGGGGGAGGUGCCCUCCUGCAGCGUGGGUGCAGGGGACGGUGCCCUCCUGCGAUGCCCCGCUGCACGGGGAGCGUGCCGUGGGCUCUGCCUGGGGUCACAAGGUGCCCCCGUCCCCUCUCCGUUUUACACGUCUCGUCUCACGCCGCCGUGCCGGACUUGGGCCAGCGUGGGACACUUUGGGCAAGUCGGUGGCUCUGGGUGUCACGCACCCCAAGCAGUGAGGGGGGACGAGCCCUCCGUGCAGCCCCAGCCCCGCUGCCCCUCCACCGGGCCCCUCAGCAGCUCAGGAAUGAGCUGGCGGCUCCUGACCGAGCGGCUGCUGCGCACGGCCGGGGCUGCAAGUGCCUCCUCGCGGCACGGCCGGGGCUGGCCCCGUCCCAGGGCAUCCCCCUCAGCCCCGAGCGAGCCGCCCCGCUCCUCUCUUCCCAUUAAGGCAGUGUGCACGGGCCCAGCGGCGGUGCUGGAGGAAAACAGGUGACCGAGCCAAGAGACCGAGCCAAGAGAAAUCUGCGGCCCCAAAUCCCCCCAACUCCCCCCCUCCGGGAGCACGAAGCCCCUCGCUGGGUGACACCGCUGCCCCCGUCCCCAGCUGGGGGUUGCAGUGGGACACAGGGGGGUGGGAGCAGCCCCGUGCCCGCUGCUCGCGUUUCUGCGCUCGCAGCCCUCGCUGCGGAUCUGGGCGGCAGCCAGCCCGGCUAUUUUAAGCCCCAUCCUGCGCCUGCGGAGGAGAGGCUGAGCCUUGGAGCCUGCCGGGAGCGUCCUCACAGACCUGCCCUUUUUGCCCAAGGGCUGGUGCACACCCGGAUGGGGGUUUGGGCUCCCUCCCCUUCCCGGCACAGACAGGAACCAGAGUGGCUGAAACCAGCAUGGCCUGGCGAAGCUAUUGCAAAAUUUUGGGACAGGGAAGCCCCCGGGGUCUGGCCACGCUCCCUGACCGUCACCACAGCACGCAGCACGCGCCUGCCUGCGGCCAUCCUGCACCGAGCACGAGGCUCGAGGCUGAGCAAGUGAGGGAAACGGGGUCCAGGUGCCGUGAGGGACGAGCUGGGCCGGGGACAACAGGGAAAACCACAGGACCAAGCUCCUCGGGAGAUGCCGGGUGGCUCAGGCUUCCCCUCGAGCAGCACCGAGCCCGGCCACGGGAGCCCCCUCCUCUGACACGACCACCACCCACCUUCCGGAGCCCCUCUGCGGGCUGGAUGAAGAAGCUCCCAGACCGCGUGUCUAUCUGUUUUUUAAUAAAAACACCCCCGGCCCUGCC